UACGUAGGGUGCGAGCGUUAAUCGGAAUUACUGGGCGUAAAGCGUGCGCAGGCGGCGCGUUAAGACAGGUGUGAAAGCCCCCGAGCUUAACUUGGGAAUUGCGCUUGUGACUGGCGAGCUGGAGUGUGGCAGAGGGAGGUGGAAUUCCACGUGUAGCAGUGAAAUGCGUAGAGAUGUGGAGGAACACCGAUGGCGAAGGCAGCCCUCCUGGGCCAGCACUGACGCUCAUGCACGAAAGCGUGGG
rnacentral:rRNA from 1 species